GAUGAACGCUGGCGGCGUGCUUAACACAUGCAAGUCGAACGAAGCACUUUAUUUGAUUUCCUUCGGGACUGAUUAUUUUGUGACUGAGUGGCGGACGGGUGAGUAACGCGUGGGUAACCUGCCUUGUACAGGGGGAUAACAGUUGGAAACGGCUGCUAAUACCGCAUAAGCGCACGGCAUCGCAUGAUGCAGUGUGAAAAACUCCGGUGGUAUAAGAUGGACCCGCGUUGGAUUAGCUAGUUGGUGAGGUAACGGCCCACCAAGGCGACGAUCCAUAGCCGACCUGAGAGGGUGACCGGCCACAUUGGGACUGAGACACGGCCCAAACUCCUACGGGAGGCAGCAGUGGGGAAUAUUGCACAAUGGGCGAAAACCUGAUGCAGCGACGCCGCGUGAGCGAAGAAGUAUUUCGGUAUGUAAAGCUCUAUCAGCAGGGAAGAUAAUGACGGUACCUGACUAAGAAGCACCGGCUAAAUACGUG
rnacentral:rRNA from 1 species